rfam:Rattus norvegicus strain BN/SsNHsdMCW Contig33775, whole genome shotgun sequence.
CAGAGCCCGCCAGCUGCUAAGCCAGGGCCACACCUGGGGGUGAUUUCAUGCCUCACCUCCAGUAGGCUCAUGGCCUCUCCGGGCUAACCUCUGGCUCCUUUGCACUAACUCUAGCUCCUCCCCCAGCUAAUCCCUGCCUCUCCCUGGCUGCCCCAAGGGGCUGACCCCUAGCAGCCAGCCCCGCCCAUCCAGGGGGGCUCCAGGCUCCUGGCCUGGCUUUGGCCGGCUUCUUUGAACCACCCUUUCCUCUGAACUAAUGUUGUGCCUUUCUGGUCUGUUCCUUCCGGCAGAAAUGAAUGGCUGUGGAUUUCUCUCUGACUAACAGGUCUCACACCCCUCUCCCUGUUACCACUAACGGCUUGGAUGGCGGCGUGGCUGGU